ACUCUUGGCUCUCUCUAACUUCAGCCUCUCAGCUCUGUCAUUUUUUUCUGUCUAUGAAUUUAAAAUAGCUUUUGCCACCAGAUAGUGAAGUGGAAGCAGGAGCAUUUGUCCCAGCUGUGAGUGGGAUCACCUUGCUACCGUGGUAAAAUCAAAGGGGCUGAUCUUCACAUGGAUUUUACAUUAAGGUUGCUGUGGGAGUGUAACUGAUGCACUUCAUUAGGGUUGGAAAUGAUAUUCCACACUCUACAGAAGCUUUCCUGCAGAGCUGUCGUCAGGAGUGAACCAAGCCUUUUCCAGAGCGUAGCAGUUUAAAAGUCAAUAAAGUGCCCUUGACUUUCCGAA